AACGCGAAGAACCUUACCAAGGCUUGACAUACACCGGAAAGCAUUAGAGAUAGUGCCCCCCUUGUGGUCGGUGUACAGGUGGUGCAUGGCUGUCGUCAGCUCGUGUCGUGAGAUGUUGGGUUAAGUCCCGCAACGAGCGCAACCCUUGUUCUGUGUUGCCAGCAUGCCCUUCGGGGUGAUGGGGACUCACAGGAGACUGCCGGGGUCAAAUCGGAGGAAGGUGGGGACGACGUCAAGUCAUCAUGCCCCUUAUGUCUUGGGCUGCACACGUGCUACAAUGGCAGGUACAAAGAGCUGCGAUACCGUGAGGUUGAGCGAAUCUCAAAAAGCCUGUCUCAGAUCGGAUUGGGGUCUGCAACUCGACCCCAUGAAGUCGGAGUUGCUA
rnacentral:rRNA from 1 species